rnacentral:misc_RNA from 1 species
GAUGAAGAACGCAGCGAAAUGCGAUAAGUAAUGUGAAUUGCAGAAUUCAGUGAAUCAUCGAAUCUUUGAACGCACAUUGCGCCCGCCAGUAUUCUGGCGGGCAUGCCUGUUCGAGCGUCAUUUCAACCAUCAAGCCCCCGGCUUGUGUUGGGGACCUGCGGCUGCCGCAGGCCCUGAAAACCAGUGGCGGGCUCGCUAGUCACUCCGAGCGUAGUAGUUACAUCUCGCUCAGGGCGUGCUGCGGGUUCCGGCCGUUAAAAGCCUUAUUUACCCAAGGUUGACCUCGUAUCAGGUAGGAAGACCCGCUGAACUUAAGCAUAUCAAUAAGCGGAGGA